GGGAAGGUCCUGCAGGGGGUCGGUUUCCCCGUCGUCCAGGCAGAGGAGCUGGCGCCCGACCGCGCCUUCCUUCCAGGCACCAGCUCCCGGAGAAGAAAGAAGGAAGAGGCAUCCGUGGUCUGCGGAAGAAACUACGAGGCGAGGGCAAGCGAGAGGAGGAGCGGCACGCUGAAACAGGGGAAAGAGAAAGGUGCUGUGGGCAAAGGGCCCUCCCUGUCACCAAGGCUGCUGUGGGACGAGAGCAUCCUGGGCAAUUCUGGGAGGGUCUCGAGGACUCUGGGGCAGGUACUUGGCUCAGGGCCGUUCCCUACGUUUCUAGAGGCUACUGUGGUUCUCGGUGAAGGGGACACAAGUGCCAAGCGUUUGCCCUCGAAGGCCGGGGGUCACAGACGCCCGCUCGCUACCCAGUCCUCCUGCGAGGGCGGGGAACGGGCCCAACCCUGCUUACAGGGCCGUCGGGCUGCUCCUGGGGUCAGAGGGCUCCACGGCUCAUGGCACUCGCCCCGAGUACGGGGCCGGCACGCUGGCAGGUCACCAGCAGGACAGGCAGCCACCCAGGCAGUGACCCAGGCCCAGACUGCGGGCGGGUCACGCGUCGGCCGUGCUACGACCACGCGGCUUGGCUCUGUCCUUGGAAAGGGGGGGCGAGCCGGGACUCGCCCUCCGCUCGCGGGCUCAGCGGGGACCGACCCCCCUGUUGCUGCACAGAGCCCCUCUUUCCCUCCCGGGAAGUUUAAGCUAAGUACGCUGCAGCGAUUUCAACAGGGGCCUAAACAAGAAGCUCCUGCACUCACACACUCGCACCGACGCGGACACAGGCAGGCACACGGACAGGGGGAAAGAAAACUUCCCAGAAGAGAGAGAGCGAGCUCUGUGCAGCCAAUGUCUGGGGAGCCGUCCCCUCCCGCGAGCAGGAGAGCAGAGCCUGGGACCUGCCCCCCCGGACGCACGGAGCCCAGAGGGACUCAACGUGCCACGGGGCUCCGCGGGGACCGAGGGACAAGUGCCGUGACGCGCCCCGACUCCAGGGGGUCACGCUGGCCAGGCCGCCAACAGGCGGAAAGCCGCCGGGGCCGGGGAAACAGCCCUCUCCUGCCUACAGGGCGGGCGUGGGGGCCAGAGAGCCCCAUUUCCCCCUCAGCGCGGGGACGGUGCCGCUCACUCUCCUUACAGGGUUGCCUCGGGUAGCCAAAUAGUCGGGGCAAGGGUGCAAAAGGCCAGAGAAACCGAGCCCUGCUUACAGGAGGUCACCCGGCGCAGCGCCGGCCAGGACACCAAAGGUGCCGGCAACGGUGCCGUUGGGAGGCCCCUUUGCCCUGAGGUCCCUCCUCUCCCCCCAGCCCUCUCUUCAGCCCGCCGCUCCUCCUCUCCCUCGCUCUGGCCUCGCAGCUCCUUCACGAUGCCUUGUCUUGCUUCUCCAGGGGCUGCUGCUCAGAAGGAAGGCGAAGCCAGGCGCCAGCUCUACCACCCGGAGGACAGAGCAGAGGUCCCGGCCCCGCUGCCAGGCUCCCCCCUGCGCCCGAGUUACUGGCCAGCCGUCCUGGCUGUGGCUCACCACCACGGUGCGCUUUAGGAGCUCCGCUUCCCGCCCCGGCCGCAGAGACGAUGCUGCUCAACCCCCUUGGAGGGUUGUCACCUGCCCGGCAGCCUGACCAUGGGGUGACAUGUCAAAAGGCCGGCAAACACCCAAAGACCCGAGCCCUGCUUACAGGGGGGUCACCCGGCACAAAGCCGGCCAGGGCACCAAAGGUCCUGGUGACACGCUGGUGCAACCACAGCCCCGGUGACAGGGAGGUCCCUUUGCCCAGAGCGCCCUUCUCUUUCCUCCUCUUGCUGCCCAGACUUCCUCCGCNNNNNNNNNNNNNNNNNNNNNNNNNNNNNNNNNNNNNNNNNNNNNNNNNNGAGGCAGGGAGGGAGGGAGCGAGGCAGGGAGGCCGCUGCUGGAGGCU
ensembl:lncRNA